GAAUCUUGCGCAAUGGGCGAAAGCCUGACGCAGCCAUGCCGCGUGAAUGAUGAAGGUCUUAGGAUUGUAAAAUUCUUUCACCGGGGACGAUAAUGACGGUACCCGGAGAAGAAGCCCCGGCUAACUUCGUGCCAGCAGCCGCGGUAAUACGAAGGGGGCUAGCGUUGCUCGGAAUUACUGGGCGUAAAGGGAGCGUAGGCGGACAUUUAAGUCAGGGGUGAAAUCCCGGGGCUCAACCUCGGAAUUGCCUUUGAUACUGGGUGUCUUGAGUAUGAGAGAGGUGUGUGGAACUCCGAGUGUAGAGGUGAAAUUCGUAGAUAUUCGGAAGAACACCAGUGGCGAAGGCGACACACUGGCUCAUUACUGACGCUGAGGCUCGAAAGCGUGGGGAGCAAACAGG
rnacentral:rRNA from 1 species